AAUUAUGGAAAGCUCAAAUUGCAUAAAUAUUGAAAGUAAAUAAGAGUUUAACAAUGGAGUUUUAAAUCUCCCAAUUCAUCACAAAAUCUGAAAUUCACCAACUUCAACUAGAAAAGGAUGGAAUUUAGCCACUCAUGGUGGACAAAAUCUCAAAAGAAAGAAAAGAAAAGAAAGGAAGAAAGCUGCUGUAAUUUUCUGCAGUAUUGCUGAAGAUGAGAUGAUGAGAUGCUGGUUUAGAUGCUGCCCUUAUAUAGCUGGAGAAUCCCAAUUCCAAUUUGAUUAGGGUUUUGGAAUCUCAAUUUGAUUUGGUCUUCUUUGUAGUCUUUGAUUCCUCUUUGGAUUUUGUAUUUGAUUGAGAAUGGAACUCUCUAAGUGAAGGGCGUGGCUCUUGGGACUGAUCUUGUAGUGUUUGAAGUGGAUUUGGACUUCUUUUCUUUGAAUUUAGAUUUUCUGCUCUUUUCCCGCCUCUGCUGUAAAUUCUGCUGUCAAGGUGAUUUGGGCAGUUUCUGCGAGUGAUUUGGGCAAAUCACUCGCCCAAUCUGCCCCAAUCGUUCUCUGGGAUUCAGUCCAGUUUCUGUCUCUGUCUCUGCGAGUGAUUUGACCAGUUUCUACGAGUGAUUUGGGCAAAUCACUGACCCAAUCACUUUUCCUGUUGCCUCCAAGUUCUGCUUCAGCUUGAUUUGGGCAGUGAUUUGGGCAAAUCACUGAUCCAAUCACUUUUCUGUCAUUUUCUGCAUUUUUUCUCCAUUUUGCCAAUUUCUUCCUUUUCUGUAAAAACAAGGUAAAAACCAUAAAUUAAGCUAAAUAAUGUGUAAAUAAACAAUAAUAAAGAUCAUAAAAAUGUGGCUAAAUUAUGCUUGAUCAAAUACCCCCACACCUAGCUUUUUGCUUGUCCUCAAACAACCGGAGAAUCCACAAUUUACAACUGCAGAUAGUAGUGAAGGAUCGAAUCCACAGAGAAUUGAUUACCUAUUUAUUUUUCUCAACAAGACCAAUAAAAUAAACUGAAACAAUGAGAUAAACCAAAAAUGAAAUAAACUGAAAGCGGAAUAAAAAUAAAUUGCAGUAAAGUAAAAUGAGGGGUUUGAGAUUGAUUUGAUUAAUAAACUACUAAAAGCAAUUAAAAUAAGUGAAUAAUAAAAUAAAAUAGAAAUAAAUAAUAAGAAAGCUCUAGUUGAAGUAUUGGAUCCACUUUAGUCAUUGGAAUUGAUCACAGACACUUUGUUCUUUUGGGUUGAUUCAAUAGAUUAGUUAUGGAGAUGGAAGACGCUUCUCACCACCAUUAUCUCUCCUUAUGAUUAAACUAAUUAGGGAACGUUCUCUAAUUAAUUACUAAUUAACAAAUUGCCAAGGAACGUCCUUGGGUCUUAGGCAUCAAAACAAUUGUCAAUUGCAUUAAGAAAUAGAGAGAUCCAAUCCUAACUACCCAAACGUAUGGAGAUAACGCUAGAUCAUACAAUUUUCUUGGGUUUUAUCCCAAGUGAACCAUGUAAGAAUAAUCUAAGCAAUUACGGACUUAAAUUAUUCAAACUAACAAAUAAUUAUUUUGCAAUAAAAAAUUAACGUAGAUUUUAAUAACAAAAUAAUAUAAAAAUUAAGUAUGAAAUUGCAUAAAUAUUAAACUUCCAAAAUUAAACAAUAUUUGAUCAAGUCUCACAACCCAUUAAACAACUAAAACUUCAAUCAAUAUUCAACUAGAUGAAAGAAAUCAACCACUCAUUGACUGAGUUGAAAACAAAAAAAAUAAAAGAAAAAAAGAAAAAGAAAAGAAAAGAAGAACCGAAUUCUCCUUGCGCCGGGCGUUGGAAUUGCCGAG
rnacentral:lncRNA from 1 species